rnacentral:rRNA from 1 species
AGAGUUUGAUUCUGGCUCAGGACAAACGUUGGCGGUGCGUCUUAGACAUGCAAGUCGAGCGUGAAAGCCCGCAAGGGUGAGUAAAGCGGCGAACGGGUGAGUAAUACUUGGGUAACAUUCCUCUGAGAUUGGGAUAACACACCGAAAGGUGUGCUAAUACCGAAUAAGACCACGGGUUCCUCGGAACCUGAGGUCAAAGGUGGCCUCUAUUUAUAAGCUAUCACUUGGAGAUUGGCUCAAGCACCAUUAGCUAGUUGGUGGGGUAAUGGCCCACCAAGGCAACGAUGGUUAGCCGGCCUGAGAGGGUGAACGGCCACACUGGAACUGAGAUACGGUCCAGACUCCUACGGGAGGCAGCAGUUUGGGAUAUUCCACAAUGGGCGCAAGCCUGAUGGAGCGACACCGCGUGAAGGAUGAAGGUCUUCGGAUUGUAAACUUCUUUAGACCUAGAUGAAGAUUGCAGGGUGAAUAAUCCUGCAGUUUGACAGUAUAGGUAGAAUAAGCCACGGCUAACUCUGUGCCAGCAGCCGCGGUAAUACAGAGGUGGCAAACGUUGUCCGGAUUUAUUGGGUGUAAAGGGCAUGUAGGUGGUUUUGUAAGUCAAAGGUGAAAUGGUUCGGCUCAACCAAAUCAUUGCCUUUGAAACUGCAGAACUUGAGUACGGAAGAGGAGAGCGGAAUUCCCAGUGUAGCGGUGAAAUGCGUAGAUAUUGGGAGGAACACCGGUGGCGAAAGCGGCUCUCUGGUCCGAAACUGACACUGAGAUGCGAAAGCCAGGGGAGCAAACGGGAUUAGAUACCCCGGUAGUCCUGGCCGUAAACGAUGAGUACUAGGUGUUAGAGGUAUCCACUCCUCUAGUGCCGCAGCUAACGCAUUAAGUACUCCACCUGGGGACUACGACCGCAAGGUUGAAACUCAAAGAAAUUGACGGGGGCCCGCACAAGCAGUGGAGCAUGUGGUUCAAUUCGACGCAACGCGAAGAACCUUACCUGGGUUUGACAUCCUCUGACCGCCUAUGAAAGUAGGUUUCAGAUCGGAAGAGCACACGUCUGAACUCCAGUCACAUCACGAUCU